CGACUUAGUAAGCUGUCACGCCUUCUGAAGGAGGCAGGUUUAUGUCGUCACACGAUCCCUUGUCUGGGAUGCAAAUGUUUGGCCCACAGUGUAUAUGUUUUCUUUUUUUUUCUAGUUGUAAGACAGCAGUUCAUUCACAACUAUGGGAGCCGAGGUGGAAAAUAGUGACACUCAGCCAAAAGAAGAAGUUCCGCUUUGAGACUUUGUGGUAAUUUCACAGAUUGGAAGUCUAUGGGUAGUGCAUCUUUUAUAUUUUAUUUAUUUAGUUAGUUUAUUUAUUAUUUUCAGUUUUUUUUAUUAUCAUUAUUUUACUUUUCAUCAAACCCAGGAAUAUUUCAGUGCCAACAUCUCUGAAGGAAGCCCGUCGUCAGUGGUUUUGGCGGAUUGACUUUUCCACGAAGUAGUAAUGGCUACUGCAAGGACUGAUUAUGUUGCUCCAUGGUGGACUUACUGGCUGCACAAUUUCCCUCACUUCAAUUUCUUUUUCCAGACGGUCGACAGCACUUUCAAACCGGAGGAGGCGAGCUAUCAGCAGUCUUUGAUAAUUCUAGCAUGUGUUGGUGCAGUUGGUCUUGGGGUGAGCCUGCUGGUUCUGGCAGUAUACGUGGUGUGCUUGUGCUGCUGCCGCAGGGACAUCGAUGAAGACACCAAAAGGCCUGAUACCUGCUGUGUCACCUGGGUUGCCGUCAUCACAGGUCUCAUCAUAUGUUCUGCUGUUGGAGUGGGUUUCUAUGGGAACAGUGAAACCAACGAUGGGGUGUACCAGAUGAACUAUUCACUCUACAAUGCCAAUCGCACACUGGGUAACAUCAACAAUCUGGUUGCAGGCUCACUGGGCAAUGUGGAAACUGCACUCAAACAGCACCUGGAACGCCUGGAUGAGAUCUUUUCUACAAGGCCUGACUACCUUCAAGCUUUACGUUUUAUGCAGCUGAUGGUCAACAAUGUCAUCCGUGAGCUGACUGUUCUUCCAGACAUCAACAAAACCAAUUUCGACUUGGCAGCCAUUGCAGACCAGACAGCCUUCAUUGAGUAUUACAGAUGGCUGAUUUAUUUGCUGCUACUGAUCCUGGAUCUGGUUAUCUGCUUGGCCAUGUGCUUGGGUAUGGCCAAGCAUUCUCAGUAUCUGCUGAUCAUGAUCAUUGGUUUUGUUAUACUAUCUCUGAUUCUGAGCUGGGCCUCACUGGGAGUUGACACUGCUACAGCUGUGGGUAUAAGUGACUUUUGUGUGUCUCCAGACAAGUUUAUUGUCAACCAUACCAAGGAUUUUCUAAGUGCAGAUGUUGCACACUAUUAUUUGUUUUGCAGUCCGAAUCUACCAAACCCGUUUCAACAGUCUUUGACAACUUGCCAGCGCUCCCUGACUACCAUGCAAAUCCAGAUUCAAGGCUUGCUGCAGUUCUCUGUGCGGGUCUUUCCCACUGCUGAGAGAGACCUUUUGGGAAUCCAACGACUAUUAAACUCAACAGAGUUCAGUCUACACAAGCUAACAGCCUUGCUGGACUGCCGUGGGCUACAUAAGGACUAUCUUGAUACCCUCAUGGGUGUGUGCUAUGAUGGGGUGGAAGGGCUCCUCUACCUCUCUUUGUUUUCUCUUCUGGCUGCCUGCGCACUCUCUGCCAUGCUGUGUGUAAUUUUCCGAGUGUGGACACUAAUGGGCAGCAGGGAAAAAGAGUACGAUGACAUAGAUGAGGAGGAUCCAUUCAACCCCCAAGCUCGUCGGAUAUCCUAUAACCCCCGAAGGUCCAACACGCACAGUUUCUGUAGCUAUACCACAAGCCUUGGCAGCCAGGCCAGCCUUCAUCCACCUCCUCAGUCAACUUCUAGUGUAGUGUCGCCCCCUGAAUACAUGAAUCAGUCCAUGCUGUUUGGAGGAACCCCUCGGUAUGAGAAUGUACCACUGAUAGGGAGAGGAUCCCCGCCUCCCUCGGUGCGUUGGCCCUACGGGGCUCUAGUGUCCCUAGUUUAAUGGCAGUGAUGGCAUAGUUGGCCUCAGCCCCACUACAGUACUAACAAGAAGCAUGUGCCAGAAAUGUAGCAAUGUUGAUACACUGCACAAAACCUCAACAGUUAAUGAAGGGAGUUAUGUUGCUCUGUAAAUGAUGGAAGACUGACAUCUACUGGCUGUUGACUGAAGUGUGUUCAUUUUUAGUGCAUUACUAAUCUAUAACUACAGUCAUAUAUCCUUUUUACAUUUGGUGGUUUUCACUGGACUGUAUUUCUGGUUCUCAAAAAGGAAUAGUUUAGGUCAGAUUAGAGAUCUAAAGAUGAAACGAGCAAUACUGCCAGCUCAAUCUCACAUCAUGUAUCUAUUUUUAAAGGAGGGGCCUCAUAGUCUAGAAGUGCAUGGUGUGCAUCCAAUGCUGGGGCUAAAUGAUAAAUAAUAGAUAGAACACUUGUAAAUCCACAGUUAAAGUCUCUGUUGGUUGGUUUUCUUUUAUAUUAAGUUUUCUGCUUGUGUGGCUGACUCAGUGCUUCAACAGCUUUAACAGUGUGCCAAAGACUUGAAACACCAUUUGAGGUGUGAGAGCGUGAACGUGGACUAUGCUCAAACCUAUUCUUUCCUCUAUAAAUCACAUUUUCAGCAUGCAUCAAGAUGUGUUAUUUGUUCCUGUUACUUAAAUGUUUGCUAUUUUGGAAAACAUAUUUGCAGUACGUUUGUUUUUCUGUUGUUAUUUAAUUUAUUUAAUUUUCUGUGACGUUUCUGUGAUUUUCUUAUCCUUUAUAUAAUCAGUUUCUCAAUAAGGCAUCUAAAUAUUGAAUAUUAACCAAUGUUUUCUACCCACCUUUUUAAAAUGUCCAUUCUUUGACUUAUUGUUUCACUCUUGUCUGACUUAAUUUGCUUGAUUUUUGUAUGUUUCCCCCCCUGCAAACCUUUCUAAUGAUGGUUGCUAUAUGCAAAAUGUUUAUAACUUGUAUCUCAAAGCUCAGGGACCCUUUUAAAGCUCCAUAGUACCUCAGCUUCCUGGCACUGUUUAACCCACAGAGUGUUGCAUUAUUCACCCAGCAUGAGAGCUACCUAUCUAUCCAUGACUGAUGCCCAGAUUAGACACUUUGGGACUGAUUUUCAGGUGUAGCCUGCUGUCUACUGAAUCCCUUUCAGUACUUCAUCUGAGAUGCUAAGCUUCAACCGACAAGGCUGUCGUCACGGUAUAACUCUGUUUGCAGGAGUGACAGCCCGCCGUCCCAAUCUGAGACAUUAAAGCAGGCAAUAUGAGGUAGUUGCCUCACUGACACACUAAUGCAGUCCCUGGAAAGCACUGAAAGUUUUUAAUAUAGAGGACUGUUCAGUUUCAUAUGAAGGCUGUUGUUGUUGUCGUUAUCAUGGUUUAUGGAAAUACUGUUGCUCAAAUGUAAGCUUUUCUAUGAACCAAAAUCCACAGUCUUUGAACUCUUUUCAGUAUUCUGGUGGUGUGCAUGGAUAUAAUCAUCGGUCAGUAUUUUGAUGUAAAGUGAGUGGCUGGCUUCCAUCAUGGCAUUUGAUUUUUUUUUUUUUUGCUUUAUCCUUCUGUUUGGCAGCAAUAUCGUUUCUUUUUUGUCCUUUUUGUAAUUUCCAAGGGUGCGAUUUGAAAGGAUACAGGAAAAUAUGAAUGAGUUAAUAAAACAAAUACCAAGUAUUAUAGUUUUGUUUUCAUUAGCCAAAGAUGCCUUUAACAAAAAGUCAGAUGGGCAUAGAUGAUAAAAUAAUAACUGACUGUUAUCACUAUUAAAGCAAAAUUGGCCAUACAAGUAAUUAUAAAGAAACUUUGGAAUGCAGAACUCAGUGCUACUAGUUAGCUUUUAAAGAAUAAACUGAAUAUGCAAGGAACAUUCUCUACUUUAUUAAAUAAAUGUGUUAUGUCUGUUUGUUUUUUUCUUCAUGUUUGCUAAUGUGUACAGAAAGUCUCAUGAUUAAAUACUAUAUUCAGACUUGUUGAUCCAUUGUUUACUUAUUAGCUCUCCACUGAUGGCUUAGAAAGACCUGCUGCAGUAAUUUCAUUAGUGUGGCUGGGAUUUGGUGUGAUAACCUGUACCUGGAGAUAUAGCAUGGGGCAAUGGGAGUCUUAGAGGCAUGGUUCUCUGUCAGCUCUUUGAAAGAGCAGACUUCUCAAGAAUCAAAAAAUGCACAACACACAACUGCAAACCAGUGUCCUUGAAGUAUUCACCUGUUUCACUUCAAUAUAAUAAAAUUGUUCUUUAUGCUACAAGACUUUGACCACUUCAGAAUCUUAUUCUUCUCUAUGCACCUUGGGAAUAGAAUAAACUGCGUCAGAGAUCCCUAACCUGAUACAUUUCUGGCUGUAGUCAGUGUUGGUGAAAAGUGUGGUCAGAAAUGUUUUCUGUAACACAUUGAUCGGAGAGGCUGCUGUGUCCUGCAGUGCACCUGUAAGUCUAUGUAGUGUUAUAAGUUGAACUGAAAUAAACCAAUAAACUCUUUGCAAGCUGUUGACUUAA